rnacentral:rRNA from 1 species
GUAUAAAUAAUUUUACUUUGAAACUGCGAAUGGCUCAUUAUAUCAGUUAUAGUUUAUUAGAAAUAYUUUACUACUUGGAUAACCGUAGUAAUUCUAGGGCUAAUACAUGAVUAAAWCCUCAACUUCGGAAGAGGUGUGUUUAUUAGUAUGAAAACCAUAUAUCUUCGGAUAUAAUAGUGAGUAAUAAUAACCUUUCAUAUCGUAUGUCGUAAGAUAACGAUAGUUCUUUCAAGUUUCUGCCCUAUCAGCUUUCGAUGGUAGUAUAUGGGACUACCAUGGCAGUAACGGGUAACGAAGAAUUUGGGUUCGAUUUCGGAGAGGGAGCCUGAGAGAUGGCUACCACAUCCAAGGAAGGCAGCAGGCGCGUAAAUUACCCAAUCCUGACAUAGGGAGGUAGUGACAAUAAAUCACAAUGCGGAACUUUUAGUUUUGCAAUUGGAUUGAGAACAAUGUACAAAUGUUAUCGAUAAACAAUUGGAGGGCAAGUC